UAGACUUCUGGGAACAGCCAAGGAUAUAGAAGCCAGCAGAGGCUGAGAAAAAGGGAGAGUUUUAAGGAGCUGGAGAGAGAGAGAGCAGGGAGACCUGGCAGCAGGAGUAGGAAGGUAACUGGUGACAUUGCAUCUGCACUCAGAAAGCAAAGAGGUCAAGAGUGGACAGGAAGUGGGGUUAUUAUAAAUGAAGUAAUCAAGGCUUGACCACCUUCUGGAUGCGAUAAAGAGCUGACCUCCACCAUGCCUUCCUGCCACGAUGUUUCUGCUUUGCUACAGUCCUAGAAGCAAUGAAGCCAGCCGAGACGAAUACCACUGAAAAGAUGAACCGAAAUAAAUCUUGCCUUUAUUAAG